GUGAUAGCAGCUAGUGAGGAGAUGCAGCUGUACUAGAAUUGAAACUUCUGAAGGCGAUUACGAACCAAUUAACGGUAUCUAAUUACAGAACUAAUAUUAUGAUGCCAUAUUGUUUGUUUCUAAUUAUCAGAAAUAUCCUAACUAUGAUACAAUGGAUCGUUUUGUACUCGCUUGCAGAAACUCCGAAGUUGUGUGGUUUUCUGAAUCGGAAUUGCAAAAUGGCGAAUGAAGAAACAUAAGCUGAUGUUAUGAUUCCAUUGUUAUUGGAUUCGCUGUUCGUCCAGCUGGUACAGACAUAACCGGACGUCAUCAGUAUGUCCUAACUGGCCAAUCUUUGCUAAAUAAUUCCAAUGACUCUAUUGGGGUAAGAGGUCAAAAAUGCGAGUAAUCCUUAUUGGACUGUCCGAUGAAAUUAUUUUCGGAUUUAUAAAGUGUUCACAUAACAUUUGAGACCAAUGUAUAUAUUGUCCAUAUGUAGUACCGUUGGCAGUAGAGAUUCCGAAUUUGUUUUUUGAAAAAAAUAAGCUGAUGUUAUGAUUCCAUUGUUAAUUCUUUCUGAAACGUUUAUAGUUAUCAGAAAUAUCCGACUGUUGGCAGUAGAGAUUCCGGAUUUGGUUUUUGAAAAAAAUAAGCUGAUGUUAUGAUUCCAUUGUUAAUUCUUUCUGAAACGUUUAUAGUUAUCAGAAAUAUCCGACUGUUGGCAGUAGAGAUUCCGGAUUUGGUUUUUGAAAAAAAGAAGCUGAUGUUAUGAUUCCAUUGUUAAUUCUUUCUGAAACGUUUAUAGUUAUCAGAAAUAUCCGACAAUUGUCAGUAGAGAUUCAGGAUUUGUUUUUUGAAAAAAAUAAGCUGAUGUUAUGAUUCCAUUGUUAAUUCUUUCUGAAACGUUUAUAGUUAUCAGAAAUAUCCGGCAAUUGUCAGUCGAGAUUUCGGAUUUGUUUUUUGAAAAAAAUAAGCUGAUGUUAUGAUUCCAUUGUUAAUUCUUUCUUAAACGUUUAUAGUUAUCAGAAAUAUCCGGCAAUUGUCAGUCGAGAUGUCGGAUUUGUUUUUUGAAAAAAAUAUGCUGAUGUUAUGAUUCCAUUGUUAAUUCUUUCUGAAACGUUUAUAGUUAUCAGAAAUAUCCGGCAAUUGUCAGUCGAGAUGUCGGAUUUGUUUUUUGAAAAAAAUAAGCUGAUGUUAUGAUUCCAUUGUUAAUUAUUUCUGAAAUGCUUAUAGUUAUCAGAAAUAUCCGACAAUUGUCAUUUGAGAUUCCGGAUUUGUUUUUUGAAGGGAAAAAAAAAUAAGCUGAUAUUAUGAUUCCAUUGUUAAUUAUUUCUGAAACAUUUAUAGUUAUCAGAAAUAUCUUGACCGUUGGCAGUAGAGAUUCCGAAUUUGUUUUUUGAAGGAAAAAAAAAUAAAUAAGCUGAUGUUAUGAUUCCAUUGUUAAUUAUUUCUGAAACUAAUAGUUAUCAGAAAUAUCCUGAUCACUGACUAUAAGUGACUGCAAAAACUUCGAAGUUGUUUUCUGAAUGUAAAAAGGCAUUGCAGAGAAAGGAAGAAGGAAUACGUCAUAUGUUUGUCGAGCGAGUGAAGGAGGAAGAAGCUGAAUUGAUAGAUGCUUUGAGAGAACAUGCAUAGUUUGGUGGUUUGAAGAAACAGCAUGCAGAAGAGAAGAAAAAUUGGAAGAAGACAGAAAGAAAUUAGAUGAAGACAUUAUGAAUUUUCUUUAAAAACUGGGAAUUAAAAUUUUUCAAUCUAAAAAUUGUUGAUUUCUUAAUACAUUGUGAGAAUAAAAGAUAGUGGCCUCGCUC